rnacentral:rRNA from 1 species
CUACGGGUUGCUCCAGUGGGGAAUAUUGGACAAUGGGGGAAACCCUGAUGCAGCCAUGCCGCGUGUAUGAAGAAGGCCUUCGGGUUGUAAAGUACUUUCAGCGGGGAGGAAGGGAGUAAAGUUAAUACCUUUGCUCAUUGACGUUACCCGCAGAAGAAGCACCGGCUAACUCCGUGCCAGCAGCCGCGGUAAUACGGAGGGUGCAGGCGUUAAUCGGAAUUACUGGGCGUAAAGCGCACGCAGGCGGUUUGUUAAGUCAGAUGUGAAAUCCCCGGGCUCAACCUGGGAACUGCAUCUGAUACUGGCAAGCUUGAGUCUCGUAGAGGGGGGUAGAAUUCCAGGUGUAGCGGUGAAAUGCGUAGAGAUCUGGAGGAAUACCGGUGGCGAAGGCGGCCCCCUGGACGAAGACUGACGCUCAGGUGCGAAAGCGUGGGGAGCAAACAGGAUUAGAUACCCGCGUAGUC